rnacentral:rRNA from 1 species
UACGUAGGGAGCAAGCGUUGUUCGGAGUUACUGGGCGUAAAGGGUGCGUAGGCGGCUUUUUAAGUUUGGUGUGAAAUCUCCCGGCUCAACUGGGAGGGUGCGCCGAAUACUGAGAGGCUAGAGUGUGGGAGAGGAAAGUGGAAUUCCUGGUGUAGCGGUGAAAUGCGUAGAUAUCAGGAGGAACACCGGUGGUGUAAACGGCUUUCUGGACCAUAACUGACGCUGAUGCACGAAAGCGUGGGGAGCAAACAGG